AUUGAACGCUAGCGGGAUGCCUUACACAUGCGAGUCGAACGGCAGCACGGACUUCGGUCUGGUGGCGAGUGGCGAACGGGUGAGUAAUGUAUCGGAACGUGCCCAGUAGCGGGGGAUAACUACGCGAAAGCGUAGCUAAUACCGCAUACGCCCUACGGGGGAAAGCAGGGGAUCGCAAGACCUUGCACUAUUGGAGCGGCCGAUAUCGGAUUAGCUAGUUGGUGGGGUAACGGCUCACCAAGGCGACGAUCCGUAGCUGGUUUGAGAGGACGACCAGCCACACUGGGACUGAGACACGGCCCAGACUCCUACGGGAGGCAGCAGUGGGGAAUUUUGGACAAUGGGGGAAACCCUGAUCCAGCCAUCCCGCGUGUGCGAUGAAGGCCUUCGGGUUGUAAAGCACUUUUGGCAGGAAAGAAACGUCGCGGGUUAAUACCUCGCGAAACUGACGGUACCUGCAGAAUAAGCACCGGCUAACUACGUG
rnacentral:rRNA from 1 species